rnacentral:rRNA from 1 species
CCUACGGGAGGCAGCAGUGAGGAAUAUUGGUCAAUGGACGAGAGUCUGAACCAGCCAAGUAGCGUGAAGGAUGACUGCCCUAUGGGUUGUAAACUUCUUUUAUAUGGGAAUAAAAUGUUCCACGUGUGGGAUUUUGUAUGUCACAUAUGAAUAAGGAUCGGCUAACUCCGUGCCAGCAGCCGCGGUAAUACGGAGGAUCCGAGCGUUAUCCGGAUUUAUUGGGUUUAAAGGGAGCGUAGGUGGAUUGUUAAGUCAGUUGUGAAAGUUUGCGGCUCAACCGUAAAAUUGCAGUUGAAACUGGCAGUCUUGAGUACAGUAGAGGUGUGCGGAAUGCGUGGUGUAGCGGUGAAAUGCUUAGAUAUCACGAAGAACUCCGAUUGCGAAGGCAGCUCGCUGGACUGCAACUGACACUGAGGCUCGAAAGUGUGGGUAUCAAACAGGAUUAGAUACCCGAGUAGUC